rnacentral:lncRNA from 1 species
CUUUCCUAGCAUGUAACUAAAAUGGAUAAAAAUGUGAAUUUAACCCUUUGCAGAUAAUCAGCACAUCAAACAUGAGCCUCCAGGUUUGCUACUGCGGCUGGUCCAAAGUCACAACCUACCGUGGCCUGAGAAUUCACCAGGGGAAGAUGGGGUGCACACCGAAGGGGAUGAGGAUCCCUGAGAGUGAUCAGUUCAGAUACAGUUACUCUCCCAGAGGGACCUACAAGGAACCUGGAAUCAAAAUAAACACCAUGUCAGACACGAGCCUCCAGGUUUGCCACUGCGGCUGGUCCAAAGUCACAACCUACCAUGGCCUGAGAACUCACCAGGGGAUGAUGGGGUGCACACCGAAGGGGAUGAGGAUCCCUGAGAGUGAACAGUUCAGAAUCAACAGGUACUCUCCUAAACUGACCUACGUGGGACCUUCAAUCAAAGAAGACGAGCCUCUGACUGAUAUCCCUCAAGUCAAACCUUAUGGUGAUCGGAACAGGUUGUUAAGUGUUACUGAAGAGGCUCUUCGAAAGGACAACGCAACAAGUCACAGCACGCCCGUCAAGACGCAGGUCACGGAUAGUAGAGAUGCAGAAGGAGAUAAGAGAGGAGAGGCUGGAGGAGGGAGAGCAGGAGAGGCUGGAGGAGCUGGAGGAGGAGAAGCUGGAGGCUCACAGGUGAGGUUGAAAGAAUAAACAUAUGUUAGUCAUGAGACUAAGCAUUGUGACAAAUGUUAGGGUGAUGAUAAUCUGUAUCAGAGCUUUCAAAGUUCACAAUGCAUUUAUAUAUUUUGUCGGAUUAAAGAAGCAAACUGGCCAGGUACAGUUUUAUAUUGAGGCUGAUAUACUAAAAUGUCUGUGUAAAUGUAUUAUUUUAUUGGUAAGAAAUGGCAGCGACUAAGCAGUGAGUUCAUGAGCUGGGUCACGAACUCACAGUACUAGUAGUUUUCUAGUAGUUUCCACGAACUACUAGAAAACACCAUGAACUGAAAGACUUAGAGUUUUAUUAAAAAUACUUGUGUCUGAAAUCAAAAUUUCGUUCUUCAGGUGGAACCAUGUUUUAACAGGUUGCCAGGCUUCGUCAUCUUCCUUACUGCCGAUACUCGUUUGAG